UGUAAUCUGUAGUACACGGUGGAGUGUGGUGGUGGGUGAGAGCCUCUCCUCAGUGAGACAUGUGAACAGAUUUUGGCUGUCUCAGGGAACAACUGUGGCAAGCCUCACCUCCUCAGCUUGACGCACAAGAUGAAGGAGUUCUACAUAUGCUGCAGAUGUAUGCAAUGAAUACAGUACUCGGCGCUCUAGCGUAUAUAAGAGCAAGCGAAGUCUCCUGCUGGCAUCACAUUUCCUUGAGCCAACGCCAAGCACCUCCAAUCCAACGGUCAAGAUGCGUACUGCUCUCUUCGCCCUCCUCUUGGUGCUCGUCGCCUUCAGCCCGUUGGUGGUGGCUGAGGCGGCUAUGGGUGAUGCCCCUUGCCUGGACUGCUACAAGGGAUAUCGCGGUGGUCUGCAAGGGCUCCGUAUGCUGCGUGAGCGAAGGGACACUGCUAAUUCGACCAGUGAAACAGAUGAAACAACGGAGACGAAUGAAACAAAUGAAACAGAUGGAUAAAGAAGGAAAGAAGAGAAGAAGAGGAAGAUGAUUAUGAUGAAGACUACAGAACCUGACAUGAUUUUUUUUUUUAUCUCAGCGGAUAAAAAAGAAAUGAUGAAGAUGAAUUUGAUGGACUAAAGAACCUGAUAUGAUUUUUUUUUUGCCUCAACGGAUGAAAAAAAGAAAUGACGAAGGCGAAUUUGAUGAAGACUAAAGAACCUCACAUGAUUUUCUUUUUUACCUCAGCGGAUAAAGAGAAAUGAUAAAUAGAACAAAAGAUUUAAUAUAAUUUCACAGAAGAGUAUCUAUUAUUUUUAUUUUAUCUUUGUGUAUUUCUUAAUGAAGGAUCUUUUGCCUUAGUGCACUUGUUCCUCCCAGCAAAUAAAAAUAUAAAGCAUUA